UAGCCCGUGGCGCAAUGGAUAACGCAUCGGACUAUGGAUCAGAAGAGUCCAGGUUCGACUCCUGGCUGGUUUA
rnacentral:tRNA from 1 species